rnacentral:rRNA from 1 species
ACUCCUACGGGAGGCAGCAGUAGGGAAUCUUCCGCAAUGGACGAAAGUCUGACGGAGCAACGCCGCGUGAGUGAAGAAGGUUUUCGGAUCGUAAAACUCUGUUGUAAGGGAAGAACAA